rnacentral:rRNA from 1 species
GACGAACGCUGGCGGCGUGCCUAAUACAUGCAAGUAGGACGCAGUUGCGAACGGGUGAGAAACGCGUAGGUAACUACCUAUUAGAGGGGGAUAACUAUUGGAAACGCUAGAUAAUACCGCAUACUAGUAGAUGGACCUGCGUUGUAUUAGCUAGUAGGUAGGGUAAUGGCCUACCUAGGCAACGCUACAUAGCCGAGCGUAGGGGGUGGUCGGCCACACGGUGACUGGGACACAGCCCAGACUCCGACGGGAGGCUGCAGUAGGGAAUCUUCGGCAAUGGGGGGAACCCUGACCGAGCAACGCCGCGUGAGUCAGGAAGGUUUUCGGAUCGUAAAGCUCUUAUGUUAAGGAAGCGGUACUUAACCAGAAAGGGACGGCUAACUACGUGCCAGCAGCCGCGGUAAUAC